rnacentral:rRNA from 1 species
GACGAACGCUGGCGGCGUGCUUAACACAUGCAAGUCGAACGGAAAGGCCCUGCUUUUGUGGUGCUCGAGUGGCGAACGGGUGAGUAACACGUUAGUAACCUACCCUUGACUUUGGGAUAACUUCAGGAAACUGGGGCUAAUACCGGAUAGGAGCUCCUGCUGCAUGGUGGGGGUUGGAAAGUUUCGGCGGUUGGGGAUGGACUCGCGGCUUAUCAGCUUGUUGGUGGGGUAGUGGCUUACCAAGGCUUUGACGGGUAGCCGGCCUGAGAGGGUGACCGGCCACAUUGGGACUGAGAUACGGCCCAGACUCCUACGGGAGGCAGCAGUGGGGAAUAUUGCACAAUGGGCGGAAGCCUGAUGCAGCAACGCCGCGUGCGGGAUGACGGCCUUCGGGUUGUAAACCGCUUUCGCCUGUGACGAAGCGUGAGUGACGGUAAUGGGUAAAGAAGCACCGGCUAACUACGUG